UACGUAGGGGGCAAGCGUUGUCCGGAAUCAUUGGGCGUAAAGCGCGUGUAGGCGGCCAGGUAAGUCCGUUCUGAAAGCCCGGGGCUCAACCCCGGGAGGCGGAUGGAUACUGCUUGGCUCGAGUCCGGAAGAGGCGAGUGGAAUUCCCGGUGUAGCGGUGAAAUGCGCAGAUAUCGGGAGGAACACCAAUUGCGAAGGCAGCUCGCUGGGACGUUACUGACGCUGAGACGCGAAAGCGUGGGGAGCAAACAGG
rnacentral:rRNA from 1 species